rnacentral:rRNA from 1 species
CGCGACCCCAGGUCAGGCGGGGCUACCCGCUGAGUUUAAGCAUAUCAAUAAGCGGAGGAAAAAGAAACUAACAAGGAUUCCCCUAGUAACGGCGAGCGAACCGGGG